rnacentral:tRNA from 1 species
GCCACAGUCGUCUAGGGGUAAGGACACCAGUUUGUGGACGCAUCACAGCGAUACACUGGAAACCGAGGUUCGAGUCCUCGCUGCGGCA